rnacentral:lncRNA from 1 species
UUUCAAUAUCUUUAGAAUAUCUUCGAUCGAUUUUGAAAUGGUCGCUUCCAACUCGAGCAGAACUUUUGUUUCGAAACAGAAAAACGUAUUCCACAUAUCUCUUACAUCCGCUUGCGUCUUUAGCUCAAAUUUAUUAAACUCAAACUUCCUUUUGUUGUCAAUCAACGGUGAACGAUACUCGAGUUUCACAAUCUUUCAAUUGUCUUCGUAAGGUAAGAGAUAAUGAAUUUCGUAUUUGAUAUCUUCGAGGGAGGUGAUGUCAUUGAGUUUGAACAUGCACCCAAGUGUAGAGCUGGUGAACGAGACAUUAUCAGCUUGUUUAACGCUCGGGUCUAAUGAAAACAAUUACAACAUAACAACAUAUACACGCUACUGCUGAAGACAGAAUUGAAAAUCAAACUCGGACGCUAAGAGAGUACUUGAGAAGAAUACUGAGUGAGAAGAGCGAGUUCGGAAGCCCUAACCAGAAAGAGAAAUCGAGCGAUUGAGAAGCUUUGUGGAAUGAAUUGAAUUUUUGUUAUAUAGUAAACUUCUGAUCUAUAAAAUUGUGUAGAUGGCCAUCUCUAUCUAGGAAACUGAUAUCCAGUAAACACAUGGUUGCAAGAAAAUAAAAAUCGUCAAACAAAGCUAGAUACCAAAAUCAAAAAAGGAUCAUGAACAAACUUCAGUUAUGGCUGCAAAAACAAGCAAACAAAGUUAGUUAUUAAAAUAGAAAUAGGAAUAGAUAUAGAUAAGGAAAAAGUUGGAAGGGGCGGUGGUAUAUAGGGUGGAGAAAUGGGUGGCGACGAAUUUAGGAUUUAUGGGCGAAAACAGAUGAAAUAUGUGAGAGAGAGAGAGAUAUGUGGUAAAUGAAAAGUAAGUGUGAAGAGAGAUAAGAGAUAAUUUGAAAUUGCAAUGAAGGAUCUUUACCUGAAAUUUUAUCUUUUGUUGCUCCCUAUGAUGUGAUGAGCCAAAAGAAUGAAGAUUUUGAAUGAA